CUCUUUCUUGUAUUCUAUGGGUGGUAGUGCAUGGUCCGUUCUUAGUUGGUGGAGCGAUUUGUCCGGUUAAUUCUGUUAACGACGAGACUUCAGCCUGCUAACUAGCUACGUGGAGGCAUCCCUUCACGGCCGCUUCUUAGAGGGACUAUGGCCGUUUAGGACAAGGAAGUUUGAGGCAAUAACAGGUCUGUGAUGCCCUUAGAUAUUCUGGGCCGCACGCACGCUACACUGAUGUAUUCAACGAGUUCACACCUUGGCCGACAGGCCCGGGUAAUCUUUUGAAAUUUCAUCGUGAUGGGGAUAGAUCAUUGCAAUUGUUGGUCUUCAACGAGGAAUUCCUAGUAAGAGCGAGUCAUCAGCUCGCGUUGACUACGUCCCUGCCCUUUGUACACACCGCCCGUCGCUCCUACCGAUUGACUGAUCCGGUGAAGUGUUCGGAUCGCGGCGACGUGGGUGGUUUGCCGUAUGCGACGUCGCGGGAAGUCCACUAAACCUUUUCAUUUAGAGGAAGGAGAAGUCGUAACAAGGUUUCCAUAGGUGAACCUGCGGAAGAAUCAUUG
rnacentral:ncRNA from 1 species